GACGAACGCUGGCGGCGUGCUUAACACAUGCAAGUCGAGCGGUAAGGCCUCUUCGGGGGUCCACGAGCGGCGAACGGGUGAGUAACACGUGGGUGACCUGCCCCCACCUCGGGGAUAAGCCUGGGAAACUGGGUCUAAUACCGGUAAUGACCACAUGUGGCAUGGGGUGGGGGGGAAGGUUUUUUCGGCUGGGGGUGGGCCCGAGGCCUAUCAGCUUGUUGGUGGGGUGAUGGCUUACCAAGGCGCGGACGGGUGGCCGGCCUGGGAGGGCGACCGGCCACACUGGGACUGAGACACAGCCCAGACUCCUACGGGAGGCAGCAGUGGGGAAUAUUGCGCAAUGGGCGGAAGCCUGACGCAGCGACGCCGCGUGGGGGAUGACGGCCUUCGGGUUGUAAACCUCUUUCGACCGGGACGAAGCGUAAGUGACGGUACCGGUAGAAGAAGCACCGGCCAACUACGUG
rnacentral:rRNA from 1 species